rnacentral:rRNA from 1 species
GACGAACGCUGGCGGCGUGCUUAACACAUGCAAGUCGAACGGAAAGGCCCUAUUGUGGUGGAGUGCUCGAGUGGCGAACGGGUAAGUAACACGUAAGUAACCUGCCCUUCACUUUGGGAUAAGUUAAGGUAACUGGACUUAAUACUGGAUAUCAUCGCUCCCUGGAUGGGGGUGGUUGGAAAGUUUGUGCGGGUUGGGAUGGACGGCCGGUUAACUGGUUUGUUGGGGGGUGAGUGGCUAACCAAGGGAUGGGCGGGUAGCCGGCCUGGGAGGGUGACCGGCCAAAUUGGGACUGGGAUAGGGCCCAGAGUCCUACGGGAGGCAGCGGUGGGGAAUAUUGCACAAUGGGCGGAAGCCUGAGGAGGAGACGCCGGGGGGGGGAUGACGGCCUUCGGGUUGUAAACCGCUUCCGCAUGGGACGAAGCGUUAGUGACGGUACCUGCAGAAGAAGCACCGGCUAACUACGUG